UGUGUACUCCCUCCGUCCGAAAAUACUUGUCAUCAAAAUAGAUAAAAAAUGAUGUAUCUAGAACUAAAAUAUGUCUAGAUACAUCUCCUUUUAUUCAUUUUGAUGACAAGUAUUUCCGGACGGAGGAAGUACCAU
rnacentral:pre_miRNA from 1 species